rnacentral:rRNA from 1 species
GACGAACGCUGGCGGCGUGCUUAACACAUGCAAGUCGAACGGAAAGGCCCUGCUUUUGUGGGGUGCUCGAGUGGCGAACGGGUGAGUAACACGUGAGUAACCUGCCCUUGACUUUGGGAUAACUUCAGGAAACUGGGGCUAAUACCGGAUAGGAGCUCCUGCUGCAUGGUGGGGGUUGGAAAGUUUCGGCGGUUGGGGAUGGACUCGCGGCUUAUCAGCUUGUUGGUGGGGUAGUGGCUUACCAAGGCUUUGACGGGUAGCCGGCCUGAGAGGGUGACCGGCCACAUUGGGACUGCGAUACGGCCCAGAAUCCUACGGGAGGCAGCAGUGGGGAAUAUUGCACAAUGGGCGGAAGCCUGAUGCAGCAACGCCGCGUGCGGGAUGACGGCCUUCGGGUUGUAAACCACUUUCGCCUGUGACGAAGCGUGAGUGACGGUAAUGGGUAAAGAAGCACCGGCUAACUACGUG